UGUUCGAGCGCCAUUUCUACCCUAGAGCCCUGCUCUGUGAUGGGCCCCGUCCUCGCGGACGGGCCCGAAACCCGUGGGCGCCGUCGUCCGGCCCUGAGCGUAGCAAGAGAAAUCCCUCGCUCGGAGUGUCUGUCGGUGGUCGCCCUGACCUAUUUUACAAGGUUGGCCUCGGAUCAGGUGGGGAUACCCGCUGAACUUAA
rnacentral:misc_RNA from 1 species